GAUGAACGCUGGCGGCGUGCUUAACACAUGCAAGUCGAACGGAAAGGCUCCUGCUUGCAGGGUUACUCGAUUGGCGCACGGGUGAGUAACACGUGGGUGAUCUGCCCUUCACUUCGUGAUAAGCCUGGGAAACUGGGUCUAAUACCUGAUAGGAUGAUUGUUUGGAUGCCAUUCUGGAAAGUUUUUUCGGUUUGGGAUUAGCUCUCGGCCUAUCAGCUUGUUGGUGGGUUAUUGGCCUACCAAGGCGUUGACGGGUAGCCGGCCUGAGAGGGUGUACGGCGACAUUGGGACUGAGAGACGGACCAGACUGCUACGGGAGGCAGCAGUGGGGAAUAUUGCACAAUGGGCGCAAGCCUGAUGCAGCGACGCCGCGUGGGGGAUGACGGCCUUCGGGUUGUAAACUACUUUCGCAAGGGACGAAGCGCAAGUGACGGUACCUGGAGAAGAAGCACCGGCUAACUACGUG
rnacentral:rRNA from 1 species